AGAGUUUGAUCAUGGCUCAGAUUGAACGCUGGCGGCAUGCCUUACACAUGCAAGUCGAACGGCAGCACGGGGGCAACCCUGGUGGCGAGUGGCGAACGGGUGAGUAAUGCAUCGGAACGUACCCGGAAGUGGGGGAUAACGUAGCGAAAGUUACGCUAAUACCGCAUAUUCUGUGAGCAGGAAAGCGGGGGAUCGCAAGACCUCGCGCUUCCGGAGCGGCCGAUGUCGGAUUAGCUAGUUGGUGGGGUAAAGGCCUACCAAGGCGACGAUCCGUAGCGGGUCUGAGAGGGUGAUCCGCCACACUGGGACUGAGACACGGCCCAGACUCCUACGGGAGGCAGCAGUGGGGAAUUUUGGACAAUGGGGGCAACCCUGAUCCAGCCAUGCCGCGUGAGUGAAGAAGGCCUUCGGGUUGUAAAGCUCUUUCGGACGGAAAGAAAUGGUUACGGCUAAUACCCGUGAUUGAUGACGGUACUGUCAGAAGAAGCACCGGCUAACUACGUGCCAGCAGCCGCGGUAAUACGUAGGGUGCGAGCGUUAAUCGGAAUUACUGGGCGUAAAGGGUGCGCAGGCGGUUAUGAAAGACAGGCGUGAAUCCCCGGCUUAACCUGGGAACGGCGUU
rnacentral:rRNA from 1 species